UAACUAAGCAGGCAAGCCAGAUUCUCCUAACCAACACUGUUUUGCAAUGAUAUAAUUUAAGGAAAGAACAUUUCACGAUGACAUCUGUUUAUUCUCAAAAGGUGAGUGGGUUCUUUCUUUAAUGAUUCUCCCCUCUACUUAUGAAAACCCACAUGCUUAUAAUAAUAUAAUAUUAGAUCAUCGUACUUCCAAUUACAAAAAGACUUGGAAAGGAAGCAAUUGACUGUCCUUGGAAUCACAUAACUCUCUCUCUCUGUUUCUCUGUUCCUAGUUUCUGCUUCUUAUUCUAAACACAUAAUAUUUUAUAAUAUGCAAACCAGAAAUUUUGUCUGCCAACUUGCAUCACCCCAUUUACAUGAACAGUCAUCCUGUGAUCUCUUCUUUGCUAGUCCCUUGACUUAAGUAUGCUACCUUUCUUUAUAUUUCAGACUUUCUAUACCAUUCAGCUUCUCUGCCUUAGGCGUUUCCUUUCAAUUUUUUCCAAUCCUUUUAUCACCCGAAUUCAUUCUCUCUCUUAAAUAGAAGCUUUGUUCUGAUCACUUUCGCCAUACUAAUCGUUGCUCUAAUAUCUCAGAAACAUGAGCAAGCUUUCUUCCCCGCAAACCAGUUUGACUUGGACAGCCAAACAAAACAAAUUGUUCGAAAACGCUCUGGCAACAUAUGAUGAGGAAACCCCUGAUCGUUGGCACAAGAUAGCCAGGAUUGUUGGAGGGACGACUGAAGAGGAAGUGAAGAGGCAGUAUGAGAUCCUUCUAUCAGACAUCAAGCGCAUUGAGUCAGGCAAAGUUCCCCUCCCUAAGUAUCGGAAAGUUGGAGCAAGUAACAUCAGCAAUGAAGAAAAGAGGUAAUACGCUUCUCCUUACUACUUGAUAAGAUGAAGACUAGACAAACAGCUUCUAAAUCCUUGGUUAACCAUAUUCAGACCUUCUAUAACCACAAGAUAUAUGAACUGUUCUAUGAUAUCACCAACUGUAACAAGUGAAACACACUUCUGUAUUAAAUCCGUAUUCACAAAUAUAAGGAUUCUAGGUAUCACCAUUGUGCUUGUGAAAGCAUAGAAGUCCAUCUCAGAUAACAUCGAGCCUCAAUUUGAUACUAACCUUCUUAUUCUUCAUUUUGCAUGAGCUUGAAUCUUCUUCAUAAGUGGAGUCGCACUUUCAACAUUGUCAUUAUCUGCUCUUCAUCCUAACAGUUAAAGCCAUAGUGGAUGAAAGAACAUUGCUUACUCCUUGCUCAUAUAUUUUGUUCCUAUACUGUAAGAAAGUUUGUUCAUUGAUGAUGAUUUGCAGCACUAGAAAGCACUUAGUUCAGAAAACACUACAAGCUGCCUGUAUAAUAACUUCCAUUUUUCUUCUGCAGGCUGAAGAUCCUAAAGCUCUAAAGGAAGAUGCCGUCCAGAAUUAGACAGAGCACCAAAUUCCUCUUAAGUGCAUCUAGAAAUUAACUCAUAACACCCCACUCCCCCCUACCCCUUUCCCUUUUUUGUUCCUGUAACUUCUAGAUGCAAUAUACUUUUGUCUUGCACAUGUACCCAGGAAGAAUCAUCCCAUAUGCUAUUGCUUACUUUUUUCUCAUCAUUAUUUAAAGAAAGGAUGCAUAUCACAUGAGCCUUAGCUCUAAGUCACAUAGGGUGGG
rnacentral:lncRNA from 1 species